UGCAAGUCGAGCGCGCCUUCGGGCGAGCGGCGGACGGGUUAGUAACGCGUGGGAAUAUGCCCAGAUCUAAGGAAUAGCCACUGGAAACGGUGAGUAAUACCUUAUACGCCCUUCGGGGGAAAGAUUUAUCGGAUUUGGAUUAGCCCGCGUUAGAUUAGGUAGUUGGUGGGGUAAUGGCCUACCAAGCCUACGAUCUAUAGCUGGUUUUAGAGGAUGAUCAGCAACACUGGGACUGAGACACGGCCCAGACUCCUACGGGAGGCAGCAGUGGGGAAUCUUGGACAAUGGGGGCAACCCUGAUCCAGCCAUGCCGCGUGAGUGAUGAAGGCCUUAGGGUCGUAAAGCUCUUUCGCCUGUGAAGAUAAUGACGGUAGCAGGUAAAGAAACCCCGGCUAACUCCGUGCCAGCAGCCGCGGUAAUACGGAGGGGGUUAGCGUUGUUCGGAAUUACUGGGCGUAAAGCGCACGUAGGCGGAUCGGAAAGUUGGGGGUGAAAUCCCGGGGCUCAACCCCGGAACUGCCUCCAAAACUAUCGGUCUAGAGUUCGAGAGAGGUGAGUGGAAUUCCGAGUGUAGAGGUGAAAUUCGUAGAUAUUCGGAGGAACACCAGUGGCGAAGGCGGCUCACUGGCUCGAUACUGACGCUGAGGUGCGAAAGUGUGGGGAGCAAACAGGAUUAGAUACCCUGGUAGUCCACACCGU
rnacentral:rRNA from 1 species